UUAAGCGACUAAGCGUACACGGUGGAUGCCCUGGCAGUCAGAGGCGAUGAAGGACGUGCUAAUCUGCGAAAAGCGUCGGUAAGGUGAUAUGAACCGUUACAGCCGGCGAUGUCCGAAUGGGGAAACCCAGUGCAAUUCGUUGCACUAUCGUUAACUGAAUACAUAGGUUAACGAGGCGAACCGGGGGAACUGAAACAUCUAAGUACCCCGAGGAAAAGAAAUCAACCGAGAUUCCCCCAGUAGCGGCGAGCGAACGGGGAGCAGCCCAGAGUCUGAAUCAGCUUGUGUGUUAGUGGAACGGUCUGGAAAGUCCGACGGUACAGGGUGAUAGUCCCGUACACCAAAAUGCACAGGUUGUGAACUCGAAGAGUAGGGCGGGACACGUGGUAUCCUGUCUGAAUAUGGGGGGACCAUCCUCCAAGGCUAAAUACUCCUGACUGACCGAUAGUGAACCAGUACCGUGAGGGAAAGGCGAAAAGAACCCCGGCGAGGGGAGUGAAAAAGAACCUGAAACCGUGUACGUACAAGCAGUGGGAGCACCUUCGGGUGUGACUGCGUACCUUUUGUAUAAUGGGUCAGCGACUUAUAUUCUGUAGCAAGGUUAACCGUAUAGGGGAGCCGCAGGGAAACCGAGUCUUAACUGGGCGUUAAGUUGCAGGGUAUAGACCCGAAACCCGGUGAUCUAGCCAUGGGCAGGUUGAAGGUUGGGUAACACUAACUGGAGGACCGAACCGACUAAUGUUGAAAAAUUAGCGGAUGACUUGUGGCUGGGGGUGAAAGGCCAAUCAAACCGGGAGAUAGCUGGUUCUCCCCGAAAGCUAUUUAGGUAGCGCCUCGUGAAUUCAUCUUCGGGGGUAGAGCACUGUUUCGGCUAGGGGGUCAUCCCGACUUACCAACCCGAUGCAAACUACGAAUACCGAAGAAUGUUAUCACGGGAGACACACGGCGGGUGCUAACGUCCGUCGUGAAGAGGGAAACAACCCAGACCGCCAGCUAAGGUCCCAAAGUCAUGGUUAAGUGGGAAACGAUGUGGGAAGGCACAGACAGCCAGGAUGUUGGCUUAGAAGCAGCCAUCAUUUAAAGAAAGCGUAAUAGCUCACUGGUCGAGUCGGCCUGCGCGGAAGAUGUAACGGGGCUAAACCAUGCACCGAAGCUGCGGCAGCGACACUAUGUGUUGUUGGGUAGGGGAGCGUUCUGUAAGCCUGCGAAGGUGGCCUGUGAGGGUUGCUGGAGGUAUCAGAAGUGCGAAUGCUGACAUAAGUAACGAUAAAGCGGGUGAAAAGCCCGCUCGCCGGAAGACCAAGGGUUCCUGUCCAACGUUAAUCGGGGCAGGGUGAGUCGACCCCUAAGGCGAGGCCGAAAGGCGUAGUCGAUGGGAAACAGGUUAAUAUUCCUGUACUUGGUGUUACUGCGAAGGGGGGACGGAGAAGGCUAUGUUAGCCGGGCGACGGUUGUCCCGGUUUAAGCAUGUAGGCGGAGGUUCCAGGUAAAUCCGGUACCUUUUAACGCUGAGGUGUGAUGACGAGGCACUACGGUGCUGAAGUAACAAAUGCCCUGCUUCCAGGAAAAGCCUCUAAGCAUCAGGUAACAUUAAAUCGUACCCCAAACCGACACAGGUGGUCAGGUAGAGAAUACCAAGGCGCUUGAGAGAACUCGGGUGAAGGAACUAGGCAAAAUGGUGCCGUAACUUCGGGAGAAGGCACGCUGGUGUGUAGGUGAAGUCCCUGCGGAUGGAGCUGAGACCAGUCGAAGAUACCAGCUGGCUGCAACUGUUUAUUAAAAACACAGCACUGUGCAAACACGAAAGUGGACGUAUACGGUGUGACGCCUGCCCGGUGCCGGAAGGUUAAUUGAUGGGGUUAUCCGUAAGGAGAAGCUCUUGAUCGAAGCCCCGGUAAACGGCGGCCGUAACUAUAACGGUCCUAAGGUAGCGAAAUUCCUUGUCGGGUAAGUUCCGACCUGCACGAAUGGCGUAAUGAUGGCCAGGCUGUCUCCACCCGAGACUCAGUGAAAUUGAACUCGCUGUGAAGAUGCAGUGUACCCGCGGCAAGACGGAAAGACCCCGUGAACCUUUACUAUAGCUUGACACUGAACAUUGAGCCUUGAUGUGUAGGAUAGGUGGGAGGCUUUGAAGCGUGGACGCCAGUCUGCGUGGAGCCAACCUUGAAAUACCACCCUUUAAUGUUUGAUGUUCUAACGUUGGCCCGUAAUCCGGGUUGCGGACAGUGUCUGGUGGGUAGUUUGACUGGGGCGGUCUCCUCCCAAAGAGUAACGGAGGAGCACGAAGGUUAGCUAAUCCUGGUCGGACAUCAGGAGGUUAGUGCAAUGGCAUAAGCUAGCUUGACUGCGAGCGUGACGGCGCGAGCAGGUGCGAAAGCAGGUCAUAGUGAUCCGGUGGUUCUGAAUGGAAGGGCCAUCGCUCAACGGAUAAAAGGUACUCCGGGGAUAACAGGCUGAUACCGCCCAAGAGUUCAUAUCGACGGCGGUGUUUGGCACCUCGAUGUCGGCUCAUCACAUCCUGGGGCUGAAGUAGGUCCCAAGGGUAUGGCUGUUCGCCAUUUAAAGUGGUACGCGAGCUGGGUUUAGAACGUCGUGAGACAGUUCGGUCCCUAUCUGCCGUGGGCGCUGGAGAAUUGAGGGGGGCUGCUCCUAGUACGAGAGGACCGGAGUGGACGCAUCACUGGUGUUCGGGUUGUCAUGCCAAUGGCACUGCCCGGUAGCUAAAUGCGGAAGAGAUAAGUGCUGAAAGCAUCUAAGCACGAAACUUGCCCCGAGAUGAGUUCUCCCUGAGACUAUAAGUCUCCUGAAGGAACGUUGAAGACGACGACGUUGAUAGGCCGGGUGUGUAAGCGCAGCGAUGCGUUGAGCUAACCGGUACUAAUGAACCGUGAGGCUUAACCUU
rnacentral:rRNA from 1 species